rnacentral:rRNA from 1 species
GUAGGGGGCGAGCGUUAUCCGGAUUUACUGGGUGUAAAGGGAGCGUAGACGGCAUAGCAAGUCUGAAGUGAAAGCCCGCGGCUCAACCGCGGAACCGCUUUGGAAACUGUUAGGCUGGAGUGCUGGAGAGGCAAGCGGAAUUCCUAGUGUAGCGGUGAAAUGCGUAGAUAUUAGGAGGAACACCAGUGGCGAAGGCGGCUUGCUGGACAGUGACUGACGUUGAGGCUCGAAAGCGUGGGGAGCAAA